UUUGCCAACUGCUUAAGAUCCCCUAG
rnacentral:piRNA from 1 species